GUGGGGAAUUUUGGACAAUGGGCGAAAGCCUGAUCCAGCCAUGCCGCGUGCAGGAUGAAGGCCUUCGGGUUGUAAACUGCUUUUGUACGGAACGAAAAGACUCCUUCUAAUAAAGGGGGUCCAUGACGGUACCGUAAGAAUAAGCACCGGCUAACUACGUGCCAGCAGCCGCGGUAAUACGUAGGGUGCAAGCGUUAAUCGGAAUUACUGGGCGUAAAGCGUGCGCAGGCGGUUAUAUAAGACAGAUGUGAAAUCCCCGGGCUCAAACUGGGAACUGCAUGUGUGACUGUAUAGCUAGAGUACGGUAGAGGGGGAUGGAAUUCCGCGUGUAGCAGUGAAAUGCGUAGAUAUGCGGAGGAACACCGAUGGCGAAGGCAAUCCCCUGGACCUGUACUGACGCUCAUGCACGAAAGCGUGGGGAGCAAACAGGAUUAGAAACCCGAGUAGUCC
rnacentral:rRNA from 1 species